CAGACUUCCCACCAUCUCCUGCUGGCCUGGCCAUGCCAGCUGGGCUCCCAGAUCCUGACACUGCACAUGCCGAGGCUGAGGUCACCAUCUCCCCCGACUGACCUUUGCCACCACUGGCUUGGUCACCAGGGGCUUCGUGUGUUGUCCUGCGUCUCCUUCAUCAAGGAUAGUUAAUUUAUCACUUCUUUCUGGAAGGAGGCAACUGUAGACUGGAGAAGGACUAGAAAGAGAAGGAAGGGAACCAAAGACUAACUCUACCUGCUCAGACAGUCCUGCCACUCUUCCCUUUCUAGAAGCCAGGCCUUCCCAGGAUGCUCCUAGAGGUGUCAGCUGCUUGCAAGCUUACUGUCCAA
rnacentral:lncRNA from 1 species